rnacentral:rRNA from 1 species
UACGGGGGGGGCAAGCGUUGUUCGGAAUUACUGGGCGUAAAGGGCUCGUAGGCGGCCAACUAAGUCAGACGUGAAAUCCCCAGGCUCAACCUGGGAACUGCGUCUGAUACUGGAUGGCUUGAAUCCGGGAGAGGGAUGCAGAAUUCCAGGUGUAGCGGUGAAAUGCGUAGAUAUCGUAAGGAAGACCAGUGGCGAAGGCGGGUCUCUGGACAGUUCCUGACGCUGAGGCACGAAGGUCAGGGGAGCAAACGGG